UCCCCCACUCUCUUCUGGCUUGUAGAGUUUCUGCCGAGAGAUUCGCUGUUAGUCUGAUGGGCUUCCCCUUGUGGGUAACCCGACCUUUGUCUCUGGCUGCCCUUAACAUUUUUUCCUUCAUUUCAACUUUGGUGAAUCUGACAAUUAUGUGUCUUGGAGUUGCUCUUCUCGAGGAGUAUCUUUGUGGCAUUCUCUGUAUUUCCUGAAUGUGAAUGUUGGCCUGCCUUGCUAGGUUGGGGAAGUUCUCCUGGAUAAUAUCUUGCAGAGUGUUUUCCAACUUGGUUCCAUUCUCCCCGUCACUUUCAGGUACACCAGUCAGACAUAGCUUUGGUCUUUUCACAUAGUCCCAUAUUUCUUGGAGGCUUUGUUUGUUUCCUUUUACUCUUUUUUCUCUAAACUUCUCUUCUCGCUUCAUUUCAUUCAUUUGAUCUUCAAUCACUGAUACCCUUUCUUCCAGUUGAUCGAAUCGGCUAGUGAAGCUUGUGCAUUCGUCAUGUAGUUCUCUUGCCAUGUUUUUCACCUCCAUCAGGUCAUUUAAGGACUUCUCUACACUGUUUAUUCUAGUUCGCCAUUCGUCUAAUCUUUUUUCAAUGUUUUUAGCUUCUUUGCAGUGGGUUUGAACUUCCUCCUUUAGCUCAGAGAAGUUUGAUCAUCUGAAGCCUUCUUCUCUCAACUAGUCAAAGUCAUUCUCCAUCCAGCUUUGUUCUGCUGCUGGCAAGGAGCUGCAUUCCUUUGGAGGGGGAGAGGCGCUCUGAUUUUUAGAAUUUUCAGCUUUUCUGCUCUGUUUUUUCCCCAUCUUUGUGGUUUUAUCUACCUUUGGUCUUUGAUGAUGGUGACGUACAGAUGGGGUUUUGAUGUGGAUGUCCUUUCUGUUUGUUAGUUUUCCUUCUAACAGUCAGGACCUUCAGCUGCAGGUCUGUUGGAGUUUGCUGGAGGUCCAUUCCAGACCCUGUUUGCCUGGGUAUCAGCAGCAGAGGCUGCAGAACAGCACAUAUUGCUCAACAGCAAAUGUUGCUGCCUGAUCAUUCCUCUGGAACCUUCAUCUCAGAGGGGCACCCGGCCAUAUGAGGUAUCAGUCUGCCCCUACUGGAGGGUGCAUCCCAGUUAGGUUACUCGGGGGUCAGGGACCCACUUGAGGGGGCAGUCUGUCCGUUCUCAGAUCUGAAACUCCUUGCUGGGAGAAUCACUACUCACUUCAAAGCUGUCAGACAGGGACAUUUAAGUCUGCAGAGGUUUCUGCUGCCUUUUGUUUGGCUAUGCCAUGCCCCUAGAAGUGGAGUCUACAGAGGCAGGCAGGCCUCCUUGAGCUGUGGUGGGCUCCACCCAGUUCGAGCUUCCUGGCUGCUUUGUUUACCUACUCAAGCCUCAGCAAUGGUGGACGCCCCUCCCCCAGCCUCACUGCUAUCUUGCAGAUGGAUCUCAGACUGCUGUGCUAGCAAUGAGUGAGGAUCCGUGGGGGUGGGACCGUCUGAGCCAGGUGUGGGAUAUAAUCUCCUGGUGUGACAUUUGCUAAGACCAUUGGAAAAGAUCAGUAUUUGGGUGAAGGUGACCCGAUUUUCCAGGUGCCAUCCGUCACCACUUCCCUUGGCUAGGAAAGGGAAUUUCCUGACCCCUUGCACUUCUCAGGUGAGGCGAUGCCUCACCCUGCUUCGGCUUAUGCUCAGUGGGCUGCACCCACUGUCCUGCCCCCACUGUCUGACAAGCCCCAGUGAGAUGAACCUGGUACCUCAGUUGGAAAUGCAGAGAUCACCUGUCUUCAGGGUCGCUCGUGCUGGGAGCUGUAGACUGGAGCUGUUCCUAUUCGGCUAUCUUGGAACCACAAACAUUUUAGUCUGGAUGCCCAAUUUCCGGUGACUUUGCAGAAUGUGUUGGCACUGAUUGCUCUGGACUGACCAUACCAGGAAACCACUCAUCUGCUUUCUGACUAUGGUGAUAGUCAGAACUCUGGAUAUCUUGGACCAAGAGAUAACCUAGUGCAUGGGAAGGAUGCGCUGAGGAUGCUGGAGCACUAAGAGAAAGAGCGAGCAUCCUUGAAGACUCUGUGGAGCUGUCAGACAAGCUCUGCAAGGCUGACUUCUGAACUUCUCUCACAGAAGCCAAUGAUAUUUAGGGUUUUUGUUAUAUAUAGCUAUACUUAAUCCUUACUGAUACAACUUCUCUAUCAGGUGCUCCUAUACCUGAUCAAUGAGCAAUCCUAUUGAUUGACUCUAAUAGGCCCAUUCUCUCUCAAUCCAGCUAAUGCCUUUCUGUUCAGUUCUAUAUUGUAAACCUAUGCCUAGAUUAUGGCACAGGUAUUCCUAAACUGGUGUCUUGCCUAUAGUCUUGCCAUCUCUGAUCUACCUUCUAUGAUGGGUGAUCUUUGUAAAAUGUAAAUUUAAUGAUUCCACUAAAUUUGAAAAUCUCUUCCUCAUUGUACCAUGACUUUAUUGCUAAUGCCUAUUUUUAAAACCUCCUUUCUAGGUA